UUAACAAUACCUAUUACUCAAUUUAUUUCACUUGACUGGGCGGAGUUUAUCCAGUUCGCUCAUAAUAAACCAGUCCAUCUAUAGAUAGGUGUUUUAGGAUACACUCAUCAAUGCAUUGUCCAGUCAUUCUUUUGUAAAUUCCUUUGAGGUCACUGAUAGGUGAUUACAAAUCAGUAAUAACUAUAAGGACAAUCAUCGUUAUCACACACAUUUUCAAAUCGACUGUCCUCAUGCAAAUUAAAACGUAAGCUCCGCCCGAUCAGUUGAAAUAACAUUG
rnacentral:lncRNA from 1 species